rnacentral:rRNA from 1 species
AUUGAACGCUGGCGGCAGGCCUAACACGUGCAAGUCGAGCGGAUGAAGGGAGCUUGCUCCUGGAUUCAGCGGCGGACGGGUGAGUAAUGCCUAGGAAUCUGCCUGGUAGUGGGGGAUAACGUCCGGAAACGGGCGCUAAUACCGCAUACGUCCUGAGGGAGAAAGUGGGGGAUCUUCGGACCCCACGCUAUCAGAUGAGCCUAGGUCGGAUUAGCUAGUUGGUGGGGUAAAGGCCUACCAAGGCGACGAUCCGUAACUGGUCUGAGAGGAUGAUCAGUCACACUGGAACUGAGACACGGUCCAGACUCCUACGGGAGGCAGCAGUGGGGAAUAUUGGACAAUGGGCGAAAGCCUGAUCCAGCCAUGCCGCGUGUGUGAAGAAGGUCUUCGGAUUGUAAAGCACUUUAAGUUGGGAGGAAGGGCAGUAAGUUAAUACCUUGCUGUUUUGACGUUACCAACAGAAUAAGCACCGGCUAACUUCGUG